GAUGAACGCUGGCGGCGUGCUUAACACAUGCAAGUCGAACGAAGCACUUGAGAACGAUUCUUCGGAUGAGGACUUUUGUGACUGAGUGGCGGACGGGUGAGUAACGCGUGGGUAACCUGCCCUAUACAGGGGGAUAACAGUUAGAAAUGACUGCUAAUACCGCAUAAGCGCACAGGACCGCAUGGUUCGGUGUGAAAAACUGAGGUGGUAUAGGAUGGACCCGCGUCUGAUUAGCUUGUUGGUGGGGUAACGGCUCACCAAGGCGACGAUCAGUAGCCGGCCUGAGAGGGCGACCGGCCACAUUGGGACUGAGACACGGCCCAA
rnacentral:rRNA from 1 species